UGAAAAAAAAAUCAGGGGCGCCUAGGUGGCGCAGUCGGUUAAGCGUCCGACUUCAGCCAGGUCACCAUCUCGCGGUCCGUGAGUUCGAGCCCCGUGUCGGGCUCUGGGCUGAUGGCUCGGAGCCUGGAGCCUGUUUCCGAUUCUGUGUCUCCCUCUCUCUCUGCCCCUCCCCCGUUCAUGCUCUGUCUCUCUCUGUCCCAAAAAUAAAUAAAAAACGUUGAAAAAAAAAAAGAAAAAAAAUCAUCAGAGGAUUCAUUGACAUUAGUCCUGAAGAGACUUAAGAACACCUAGCCCCACUGCCUCAUUUCAUAGGUUAAGAAACUGGAAUCCAAUUUAAACAAGAAAUAAUUAGAAACAUGAAGGCAAGGGGCUAACUUCAGAAACGUACUUCACACAAAGAACCAGCGGCCUAAAAGAAGUCUAUUCUAAUAAAUGAGAGAAAUUAAAAAUAUAUAAUCAUAUCAUAUUUUAUAUAGAUGAUAAAAAAUACUUUCAAAUAGCAGUCUAAUCUAAAUAGCAGUAAAAUAGGGAGCCCUGGGGGGUGUGUGUGAGAGGGGAGAAUAAUUGAUAAGAUGAUUCAUUCUCACAAUUAUUGAAAAUCUUUCUAAUAUGGUAGCCAAUUAAUAAAACAUAAAUAUGAAUUGUUUCAGCAGAUCAUAAAAUAAAUUCAGCUAUUUAUUUUAGGAAAUAAAUACUACUAACUGUGAACAACUAAGCUAAAAAAUUCAUAAUUGGUAAUGUUAAUCUAGAGAAGGAAUCUGCUGAGUGGUAGGGCAUUGCGAUACAGGAGUCAAUCAGGAAACUGUAAAUUUACCAGAGAAGAUAGUUCUGUGUUAUGGAAUUUAUAACAGUGUUUUAUUUGACAAAUGAUAAUCCCAGAUUCUCUGCUUGGGAAUAUAUAGGAGAUGAUACGAAAGGCAAUAUACAGUUUUUUGCCUUGUUAAAUAAAGGGCACCUGGGUGGCUCAGUGGGUUAAGCAUCUGACUCUUGAUUUUGGCUCAGGUCAUGAUCUCAUAAUUCAUGGAAUGGAGCCCCUGGAAGACUCUGUGCUGACAGCAUGGAGCCUGCUUGUGAUUCUCUGUCUGCCUCUCCCUCUCUCUUUCUCUCAAAAUAAGUAAGUAAAUAAACUUGAAAAAUUAAAUUAAAAAAUAAAUACCUUGUUAAAUAAAAAAGUGACAUACCAUUAUUGUUAAUAAUAGUAUUUUUAUACUGUGUAUAAGAUAGUUAAGAAUUGAAUAUCAUAAAGAAUACUAUCACUCAACUCCUACUUCUUUCCUUCACAAGAAAUUCUCCCCCAAGCCUUGUCUCCACUCUUGACUUCCAAAACCCGACUUAUCCACAUCAUCUCGAAACCAGCUCCUCUAAAUUUUCAUAAAGCUAGUGAAGAUUUAGCAUCUUCUCAGGAUAUUCAAGCUAAUCACCUGGAGCCAACUUUUCAUUGUCUUUUAACUAUAUUAGCUAAGUCUUGGGGAUUCUGUUUCCCUAUUUGCCUCUCAUGUAUCCUUCUUUUUUGAUUCUCCCACCAUCCCAGAUCCUAUCUUAUAUCUUGCAUCAAUGCCUUCUUAUUUUUCCUACUCUCUCUCAGAUUAAUGGAUCUAGAGCGUCAGAUUAAUAGAUCUGCAAAGUUCUAGUGGCUGUAUAGUCUCAAGCAAAAUGAAAAAGUCAACAUGUAUUUAUUGAAUAUCCAUGGAGUACCAUGCACUGUGCUGGACUUAGAUGAGGGUGGACCAUAAGAGUUGCUUUGUCUUUAGUGCAUCAUCAUCAAGUUAACUCAACCACCCUAUUUUUACUGCCUUUUAGUGCCUCUUACACUUACACUAACAUUGUCCCUUGCUUAAUGCUCUAAUACUGUCUCACAUCUCAAAUUCCAUUUCUGUUAGAGAUUGUCUAACUGAUCUGGUCAGUACUUCCUCUACUCGCUGAGUGCUUUGCACCAGCCUCCCUCUUAGGCCACUGCCCAGCGUACAGAAGAGCUGCCCUUUGGCAGAUGACCACUGGUUUAAUCCCCCAUUAAAACAGGAGGGGGUUUCAGGGUUCACCAAAUGGUCUUCUCUAUUUAAUAAAUUACCCCAGUCUCCUCCCUUAGCAGGUUCUUUUUUUUUUUUUUUCCUUUAAUGUACAAAUGGUAUGCUUAAUAGAGAAACGGCUUUUCAUCAAAGGAAAAUGAUGGUGUUAUUAACAAAGUAUAGAGAAUGAGCAAGUGGAAACAUGUUGAUUUUGAGGUGCUUUAGGGCUAUUUGAGAUGAAUAACCCAUAAGUUAGCUAGAAAUGUGGAUUGGAGGCUUAGAAGUGGGGUUUGGACAUUGGAACUGGACAAACAUAUUUGAGAGUCAUCAAAGUGUCAGGGAUGGUUGUCACUAUAUAUAAAGGUGGCUAGUCCCAGCAACCAUAAAGAAUGUCUUGAAUAUUGGGUCAAGGAUAUAACCCUGGAGAAUAUCAGAAAAAUAACAGCCCAGUAAGGACCCCGAAAAGAAUCAGAGAAGAAUGGAAAAAGCAAAGACUCUUUUUACCGUGCACAUCCUCAGUGUGACCAAAUCUUCUGUAGAUUUCAUCCUGUUUUUUCUAUCUUCUUUUUCCUCUUUAUAUUUCUUUCCUAUGUGUAUUCCAAUGUUCUUCCAACUCUUACCUUAUCAUUUCUAUGCUUCUUGCAACUUUAGCUUUCCCUGUGUUUGUAAUUCUCCUCUUUCAGGUUUGACUGAUUGAAAUCAACUUUAUGUUGCAAGACACAUCCCAGAUCUGCUCUCUGAACUUACUUUGUGUGCUUUUUUAUUUUUUUUUACUUUUCUGUAUGGUUUACAUAUGUUUCUUAUCCCUUUAAUAGGUUUUGUUUUUUGGUUUUUGGUUUUUUUUGAGAACCCAGACGAUACUUGUUGUUGUUGUUGUUGUUGUUGUUGUGUCUCUUCUAUUGCUGGUACUGAGUAAGCAUUCAAAAAUACUUUUGGGAAGCACCUGGUUAAGGGUCCAACUGAACCUCAGGUCAUGCUCCCCAUUUGUGUGUCGGAGGUCUGUGUCAGGCUCUGUGCUGACAGCUCAGAGCCUGGAGCCUGCUUCACAUUCUGUGUCUAACCUCUCUCUCUGCCCUUCCCCUACUCACACUCUGUUUCUCUCUCUAUCAAAAAUAAACAUUAAAAAAAUUUAGAAAAAUCCAACUUUUUGGAUAGGGUGCGUGGGUGGCUCAGUCAGUUAAGCUUCUGAUUUUUUAUUUGAGAUUAGGUCAUGAUCUCAAGGUUCCUGAGAAUUUGUGAGAUCAUGACCCACCUUUCUGGCUCUGUGCUGACAGCGCAGAGCCUGCUUGGGAUUCUCUCUUUCCACCUCCCUCACUCAUACUCUCUAGCUCUCAUUUUCUCUCUCUCAAAAUAAAUACAAAUUAAAAAAUAAAAAUACUUUUUGGAUUGACAAUAUUAUCAAGUAUUCUGCCUAAAUCAUUGUUCACCUAUCACACCUUUACUCUUUAUUGGCCUAUUUCCUAAUAGGAAAAAAAAAAAUCUUUGAAACACGAGCAUGUUACGCCUUUCCCACAAAAAGCUAGAGAAAGAAAAAACCAAGUCCUCUUAAGCUGAUGUUUGAUAGUAAUCUGAGAAGUGAUAUUUUGUUUGCUCAUGUAGAUUAAGUUGUAGGAUGGUUUGGCAAUAAAAAUAAACACUUCCCAUGCUCCUUCCAAGUCUAGUAUUACUGGUUAUUGAAGCAUGUUUGUUAUCAGGAUUUUUUUUUCUGGUUUUUCAGACCUAAACACAGACUGCAUGCUAAAAUUGAAUUCAAAAAAUUAAAAUUGAUAUUUUGGACUAUCCCAUACUUCUACCAGGUGCAGGGACAGGAGUUGAAAUUAUUAUGGUAACUAAAAAUAAACUUGGGGCCCCUGGGUGGCUUAGCCAGUUAAGGGUCCAACUCUAGAUUCCGGUUCAGGUCAUGAUCUGUCCAUUUGUGAGUUCCAGCCCUCCACUGGGCUCUAUGUUGGCAGUGUGAAUCCUGCUUAGAAUUCUCUCUCUCUGCACCACCUCCCCCCCCCCCCCCCAGCUUGCACUUUCUCUCUCUCUCAAGAUAGAUUAAAUAAAUUUUUAAAAAUGAAAUAAAAGAAAUAAACUUUUAACACUUUCAAAAGUUUUAUUUAGAAAGUGUCUAUGAUAGGAGCUUUAAUACAUUUUUAGGACUUUAUUGCUUUCUUUUCUUCUUUAUUUGCUAGGGCUGACAUUCACUA